CGAAUGCUGACAUAAGUAACGAUAAAGCGGGUGAAAAGCCCGCUCGCCGGAAGACCAAGGGUUCCUGUCCAACGUUAAUCGGGGCAGGGUGAGUCGACCCCUAAGGCGAGGCCGAAAGGCGUAGUCGAUGGGAAACAGGUUAAUAUUCCUGUACUUGGUGUUACUGCGAAGGGGGGACGGAGAAGGCUAUGUUGGCCGGGCGACGGUUGUCCCGGUUUAAGCGUGUAGGCUGGUUUUCCAGGCAAAUCCGGAAAAUCAAGGCUGAGGCGUGAUGACGAGGCACUACGGUGCUGAAGCAACAAAUGCCCUGCUUCCAGGAAAAGCCUCUAAGCAUCAGGUAACAUCAAAUCGUACCCCAAACCGACACAGGUGGUCAGGUAGAGAAUACCAAGGCGCUUGAGAGAACUCGGGUGAAGGAACUAGGCAAAAUGGUGCCGUAACUUCGGGAGAAGGCACGCUGAUAUGUAGGUGAAGUGAUUUACUCAUGGAGCUGAAAUCAGUCGAAGAUACCAGCUGGCUGCAACUGUUUAUUAAAAACACAGCACUGUGCAAACACGAAAGUGGACGUAUACGGUGUGACGCCUGCCCGGUGCCGGAAGGUUAAUUGAUGGGGUCAGCGCAAGCGAAGCUCUUGAUCGAAGCCCCGG
rnacentral:rRNA from 1 species